rnacentral:tRNA from 1 species
GCGGAUGUGGCGGAAUUGGUAGACGCGCUAGCUUCAGGGGCUAGUCAUCACAAGAUGGUGGAGGUUCAAAUCCUCUUAUCCGCACCA